GGCAGUUCUGUUCCAGUCAGAAAGCAAAUCAACCCACUGAAAUGUAAUUAGUAUAAAUCAAAUAUGCACUGCAAUUACAUAGCACAUGGUAAGCAGACUGUAAAACUGAGUGGUGUAUUUUUGCAUCCUAACAUUUCCUGUAUUCCCAGAGCAGCUUCUUUCCUUAUUAUUGCACUUUUGAGAUGUAAUUAUAUGGCCUCAAAAUAUCUCUUCUCUGUAACAACCUUUUUUUUCUGAAAGUCAACUCUCUUUACUAAUUGAUUAAAGGAACAGUAUCACUAUCAAAAUACAGUUCCAUGACUUGAUAUCCUUCUGACCAAAACAGGGGGAAGCAGAAGGCUGGGAAGAGUGUGCAGUGAUUGAAUUCUUCUACUCCUUACCAGCUCAGCUGGGUGCUAUGUCUUGGGUAGGGCAUCUGGUUUUUAAAACAUGCAAAUACUGGAGCGGCAGCCUACUUUGUCAGCCGUCUGGCCCUUUGAAUAGUGUUCUGUUCAUGCACAGGGAUCUCACCUGCUUGGGGAUAUAUAGCAGUAAACACUGAAAGCAAGAGGAUGUGCAGAAAUACAUUAUUGAUACAAAUACAUUAUAUACUAUUAUAUGAAUAAGUGAUAAUGCUGAAACAAAGUCAUGUGGUGACUGAAGUGUGAGGGAUAGAACAGGCAAGGACUGCAGGCUCUCCACCAUCUGCACAAUCUGAUUUUUAAAUCUCUGAAGUCCUAUAAUUUCCCUUUUCCAGCAAUCACUUGACACCAUACACUGCCACUCCCAACCCAGGAAUGGGGUUUCUUGAACAUGCUUGACAAAUUUCUCACAGCUAGGUGUUCUGGCAGAUGAAAUGUGACUGAAAGUGCAGUUAUGCAGCUGGCUCACAUACUGUCUUUGCUGGGUGAGAGGAUACGUAUACUGCAACUUUGUGCCAGCAUGAGCCAUGGAUAUACCAGCUGAUAUUUCCAAGCUGUACUGGACUUUGCCCCUUCCUGCCUACCACAUGACUGCUGAUUCUGAUGAGGCACUGAUGCUCUUGCCCUUGGGCUGGGUUGUACAGCGAUGCCCCCAUCAUUGUGGCUGGGCACC
rnacentral:lncRNA from 1 species